rnacentral:rRNA from 1 species
UCGCGUCUGAUUAGCUAGUUGGUGAGGUAAAGGCUCACCAAGGCGACGAUCAGUAGCUGGUCUGAGAGGAUGAUCAGCCACACUGGGACUGAGACACGGCCCAGACUCCCACGGGAGGCAGCAGUGGGGAAUUUUCCGCAAUGGGCGAAAGCCUGACGGAGCAAUACCGCGUGAGGGAGGAAGGCUCUUGGGUUGUAAACCUCUUUUCUCAGGGAAGAAAAAAAUGACGGUACCUGAGGAAUAAGCAUCGGCUAACUCCGUGCCAGCAGCCGCGGUAAUACGGAGGAUGCAAGCGUUAUCCGGAAUGAUUGGGCGUAAAGGGUCCGCAGGUGGCUAUGUAAGUCUGCUGUUAAAGAAUGAGGCUUAACCUCAUCAGAGCAGUGGAAACUACACAGCUAGAGUGCGUUCGGGGUAGAGGGAAUUCCCGGUGUAGCGGUGAAAUGCGUAGAUAUCGGGAAGAACACCGGUGGCGAAAGCGCUCUGCUGGGCCGUAACUGACACUGAGGGACGAAAGCUAGGGGAGCGAAUGGGAUUAGAUACCCCAGUAGUCCUAGCCGUAAACGAUGGAAACUAGGUGUAGCCUGUAUCGACCCGGGCUGUGCCGAAGCUAACGCGUUAAGUUUCCCGCCUGGGGAGUACGCACGCAAGUGUGAAACUCAAAGGAAUUGAC